rnacentral:tmRNA from 1 species
AGCCUUUUUUUAUUGGUCGAGAGCACCUAUAUUUCAACCGUCGGGAGACCGACUAUGGCGUUACAGGGCCUUAUGAAAUAAGCGUUGCGGACCCGGGGGCGGUACCCGGCGCCUCCACCAAACUCCGAAAUUGAUCGGAUUCCCGUUUGGGGGCGAAAUAGGAUCGACGCGCGUGGUAAAGAUUUGGUUUGCGCCCGGCAUGGUACCGCCGUUAUCGGGCCGAUUCGCUAAUUGCGAACGAUAACUUUACGGGCGAAGCCCGUCUCGCUGCUUAGUCUGACUAAGUAAGCGCGGCCCGGGGGGCGCCGGGCAACAGAAGCCCCCCACU